AUUCAUGGAACAAACCCUCCCCAAGAAUCUCAAAUCCAUAUGCCCAACUUCGACGCCUUCACCUUCCAAGAUCUCCGAACACCUAACAUCAUUAAAUUUCUGCGAUUGAGCUGCAAAUUGAACCAAUCAGACGAAUUUAGAUGAGGUUAGUGCUAAGAAAUUUGAAUUUUGUCAUGGAAAAUUCUAGAAUAAAAGCUGACAUUCCAAAUCAUUGGUGGCGAAACUUGAACUAUUCGAGUUCUUCUUGAUGUAUGUCAUCCUUACUGUGAUCUUUGUUGAAGAAUUGAUUUUCCAUGUAAUGGUGAUGUGUCCGAUUGAACUGUUCUAUUUGGCUUGUAGAUUUGUCCCAUUUUUAAUUCUAAACCAUUUGAGCCGAGUGGGUCGAAGUACAACAGAGUCAUUUGGUAAGAUUUAUUGGUCCGCUUGGUCGAUUCGUUCAAGUAUAACACAGUGAGCAGUCGAUUAGUCGAGGCUCUUCAAUACGAUGGAGCACAAUUGCUACAGUUGGUCUGAUUCGUUCAAGGUCAGGACGAUGAGUGGUCGAUUGGACGAGGCGAGCGAGUCGAACUACAACAAAGUCGUUCGGUUGCAGGCGGUGAUGGUACGGUUGGUUGGGUAUUGGAAUGUCUUGUAGAACCUAACAAAGAGAGUCGAAAUCCAAUUUCUCCCAUAGGAAUAAUUCCACUUUGUAUAGAAAAUGACCUAUCUAGGAGUUUUGGCUGGGGUGGUUCUUUUCCUUUCGCAUGGAAAUCAGCCAUUAAAAAAACACUCAACAAAGCUACUACUGGUCAAAUUUGUCAUUUGGAUAGGAACAUAGUUUUGGUCAAGGUAGUGCCUACAUGUGCUAUGUUUUAUUUUAUGUUUAGGUUUGAUAGAUUCUCUCUACACUUAUUUACGGUAGAAGGCUGAUAUGAAUUUCGAUGACGCAAUUGACAAAGUUCUAUUGUCAAUCCCUGGAGAAGUUGUGGAUCCGCCUCACUCUCUGAAGCAUACAGAAGAGUGUGCUCUUGAUGAGGUUGAAAAUUUACAAUAUUAUUUUUCUGUUUACUUAACUUUAUUGUAUGAUUCUUACCUGUAUAAAGUAAUUACUAAUCUGAGCCAUUAUAUGUGUCAUGAAUAAAAAGGAUGUAUUCGUUAAAUCGAGAUGAAUUAUAAAUAAGAGAAAAGUUGAUUAAAUUUUA